CGAGCGAAGUCCAUCUCCGUGUAUUUUGUAGACCACUCAUUCACUUCCUCCUUGGUGCGGUUGGUGAAAAGCAGACCGACCUCACCCCUCACCUUCUUGCUGACCUGAUGCAGGUUGUCUUUGUGCCCAUCAGCUGGGCUUCGACCCAAGGCCACCAUCAUCACCUUGUUUUUGCCAAAGAACAUCUGGCUGUGCUUCCCGCAUGUCCUUCAGCUUGCUCUUCUAUCAGGUUCUGUUUCAGUUCUAAGCCUUUCUUGGCAGUUUUGCUUAAGGAAACUUUCUUGUCGCGCUUGGAUUUGGGCAUCGCGCUGCAGGCACACGCGCCCUCCAGACUCUUCUGGGGGCUGAGAAUGUGCUCCCUAAAACUACCAUGUCAGCCAGCUCACUCUUCUUUGUGUGUCGAGGGCUUUCUUUGGCUGGAAAGAUGCUCCUGCCUUCCCUCCCCACUCGUCACCCACUCCCCUGAGCCUGGACUCCAACCCUGCUGGUCAAAUCAGGUCCAUCCAGUCUUUACCAGGUCUUUCUGGAAGGAAUGUGACCGUGCCCUCUUGACGACAAGGCAUAGUAGUCUCAAAUAUUCUGUCCUCCAGACCUCUUAG
rnacentral:lncRNA from 12 species